rnacentral:rRNA from 1 species
GACGUAGGGCCCGAGCGUUGUCCGGAUUUAUUGGGCGUAAAGAGCUCGUAGGCGGCUUGUCGCGUCGUUCGUGAAAACCCCGGGGCUCAACCCCCGGGCUUGCGGUCGAUACGGGCAGGCUGGAGUUCGGUAGGGGAGACUGGAAUUCCUGGUGUAGCGGUGAAAUGCGCAGAUAUCAGGAGGAACACCGGUGGCGAAGGCGGGUCUCUGGGAAGAUACUGACGCUCAUGCACGAAAGCGUGGGGAGCAAAACAGG